UAGCCGUAAACGAUACUCGCUAGGUGUCGGCCACGGUGCGACCGUUGUCGGUGCCGUAGGGAAGCCGUGAAGCGAGCCACCUGGGAAGUACGGCCGCAAGGCUGAAACUUAAAGGAAUUGGCGGGGGAGCACCACAACGGGUGGAGCUUGCGGUUUAAUUGGAUUCAACGCCGGAAAUCUUACCGGGACCGACAGCAACAUGAAGGCCAGGCUGAAGACUUUGCCGGAUUAGCUGAGAGGUGGUGCCAUGGCGUAGUCGUGU
rnacentral:rRNA from 1 species